GAUGAACGCUGGCGGCGUGCCUAAUACAUGCAAGUAGAACGCUGAAGGAGGAGCUUGCUCUUCUGGAUGAGUUGCGAACGGGUGAGUAACGCGUAGGUAACCUGCCUGGUAGCGGGGGAUGACUAUUGGAAACGAUAGCUAAUACCACAUGACAACAGUUAUUGCAUGAUAACUGUUUAAAAGGGGCAACUGCUCCACUACCAGAUGGACCUGCGUUGUAUUAGCUAGUUGGUGAGGUAACGGCUCACCAAGGCGACGAUACAUAGCCGACCUGAGAGGGUGAUCGGCCACACUGGGACUGAGACACGGCCCAGACUCCUACGGGAGGCAGCAGUAGGGAAUCUUCGGCAAUGGACGGAAGUCUGACCGAGCAACGCCGCGUGAGUGAAGAAGGUUUUCGGAUCGUAAAGCUCUGUUGUAAGAGAAGAACGAGUGUGAGAGUGGAAAGUUCACACUGUGACGGUAUCUGACCAGAAAGGGACGGCUAACUACGUG
rnacentral:rRNA from 1 species